rnacentral:tRNA from 1 species
GCCUAGCUGGCUCAGUUGGAAGAGCGUGUGACUUAAUCUAAGGGUUGUGAGUUCAAGCCCCAUGUUGGGUG